rnacentral:rRNA from 1 species
AGGACGAACGCUGGCGGCGUGCUUAACACAUGCAAGUCGAGCGGAAAGGCCCUUCGGGGUACUCGAGCGGCGAACGGGUGAGUAACACGUGAGCAACCUGCCCUUAGCUCCGGGAUAGCUCCGGGAAACCGGAAUUAAUACCGGAUAUGACCUAGGCCGACAUCGGCUGUGGUGGAAAGUUUUUCGGCUGGGGAUGGACUCGCGGCCUAUCAGCUUGUUGGUGGGGUAAUGGCCUACCAAGGCGACGACGGGUAGCCGGCCUGAGAGGGCGACCGGCCACACUGGGACUGAGACACGGCCCAGACUCCUACGGGAGGCAGCAGUGGGGAAUCUUGCGCAAUGGGCGAAAGCCUGACGCAGCGACGCCGCGUGGGGAUGAAGGCCUUCGGGUUGUAAACCCCUUUCAGCAGGACGAAGCGAAAGUGACGGUACCUGCAGAAGAAGCGCCGGCUAACUACGUGCCAGCAGCCGC